CAGCCGCCGCGGUAAUACGUAGGUGGCAAGCGUUGUCCGGAAUUAUUGGGCGUAAAGGGCUCGCAGGCGGUUUCUUAAGUCUGAUGUGAAAGCCCUGGGCUCAACCUAGGAAUUGCAUUUGAUACUGUUUGGCUUGAGUUCGGGAGAGGUGAGUGGAAUUCCCAGUGUAGAGGUGAAAUUCGUAGAUAUUGGGAAGAACACCAGUGGCGAAGGCGGCUCACUGGACCGACACUGACGCUGAGGCGCGAAAGCGUGGGGAGCAAACAGGAUUAGAUACCCGCGUAGUCCCUGUCUCUUAUAC
rnacentral:rRNA from 1 species